UGGGGAAUAUUGCACAAUGGGCGAAAGCCUGAUGCAGCGACGCCGCGUGAGGGAUGACGGCCUUCGGGUUGUAAACCUCUUUCGACAGGGACGAAGCGUGAGUGACGGUACCUGUAGAAGAAGCACCGGCCAACUACGUGCCAGCAGCCGCGGUAAUACGUAGGGUGCGAGCGUUGUCCGGAAUUACUGGGCGUAAAGAGCUUGUAGGCGGUUUGUCGCGUCGAUUGUGAAAACUCACGGCUCAACCGUGAGCUUGCAGUCGAUACGGGCAGACUAGAGUACUUCAGGGGAGACUGGAAUUCCUGGUGUAGCGGUGAAAUGCGCAGAUAUCAGGAGGAACACCGGUGGCGAAGGCGGGUCUCUGGGAAGUAACUGACGCUGAGAAGCGAAAGCGUGGGUAGCGAAC
rnacentral:rRNA from 1 species